rnacentral:rRNA from 1 species
UACACUCCUGCGGGAGGCAGCAGUGGGGAAUUUUGGACAAUGGGCGAAAGCCUGAUCCAGCAAUGCCGCGUGAGUGAAGAAGGCCUUCGGGUUGUAAAGCUCUUUUGUCAGGGAAGAAACGGUGAGAGCUAAUAUCUUUUGCUAAUGACGGUACCUGAAGAAUAAGCACCGGCUAACUACGUGCCAGCAGCCGCGGUAAUACGUAGGGUGCAAGCGUUAAUCGGAAUUACUGGGCGUAAAGCGUGCGCAGGCGGUUUUGUAAGUCUGAUGUGAAAUCCCCGGGCUCAACCUGGGAAUUGCAUUGGAGACUGCAAGGCUAGAAUCUGGCAGAGGGGGGUAGAAUUCCACGUGUAGCAGUGAAAUGCGUAGAUAUGUGGAGGAACACCGAUGGCGAAGGCAGCCCCCUGGGUCAAGAUUGACGCUCAUGCACGAAAGCGUGGGGAGCAAACAGGAUUAGAUACCCGAGUAGUCC